ACCUGACUGCUAUCGGAUUGAUACUAAGCCAUGCGAGUCAUUGUAGCAAUACAAGGCAUACGGCUCAGUAACGCGUAGUCAACCUAACCUAUGGACGGGAAUAACCUCGGGAAACUGAGAAUAAUGCCCGAUAGAACAUUAUACCUGGAAUGGUUUAUGUUCCAAAUGAUUUAUCGCCGUAGGAUGGGACUGCGGCCUAUCAGUUUGUUGGUGAGGUAAUGGCCCACCAAGACUAUUACAGGUACGGGCUCUGAGAGGAGUAGCCCGGAGAUGGGUACUGAGACACGGACCCAGGCCCUAUGGGGCGCAGCAGGCGAGAAAACUUUGCAAUGUGCGAAAGCACGACAAGGUUAAUCCGAGUGGUUUCUGCUAAAGAAACCUUUUGUUAGUCCUAGAAACACUAACGAAUAAGGGGUGGGCAAGUUCUGGUGUCAGCCGCCGCGGUAAAACCAGCACCUCAAGUGGUCAGGAUGAUUAUUGGGCCUAAAGCAUCCGUAGCCGGCUCUGUAAGUUUUCGGUUAAAUCUGUACGCUCAACGUACAGGCUGCCGGGAAUACUGCAGAGCUAGGGAGUGGGAGAAGUAGACGGUACUCGGUAGGAAGUGGUAAAAUGCUUUGAUCUAUCGAUGACCACCUGUGGCGAAGGCGGUCUACUAGAACACGUCCGACGGUGAGGGAUGAAAGCUGGGGGAGCAAACCGGAUUAGAUACCCGGGUAGUCCCAGCUGUAAACUAUGCAAACUCAGUGAUGCAUUGGCUUGUGGCCAAUGCAGUGCUGCAGGGAAGCCGUUAAGUUUGCCGCCUGGGAAGUACGUACGCAAGUAUGAAACUUAAAGGAAUUGGCGGGGGAGCACCACAAGGGGUGAAGCCUGCGGUUC
rnacentral:rRNA from 1 species